rnacentral:sRNA from 1 species
CGCUCUAUCUGUUUAUCCUCGGAUACGUUUUUGGUUUGGCGUGGCGCAGGAGAACUCUGUGAUCGUGUAGGUGAGAUAAAUGACGACAGGAGAGGAUCAGGAGUUACACUUGACGCAACAGAACCAUUACGAGAAGUAAAUCCUAACAACCUUUGUAGAUCUCCUUCUCUUAGUUCUUUCCGAAGAAGUGAAAGUGUCGAAUUGGUACCGCUUUUUCGUGACUUUCUCUUUCGCUGCAAGUAAAACUCAUUAAGGAAUUCAACAGAGGA